ensembl:lncRNA
UCCCCCCGGUACAUAGUUGUAUAUUUUUAGUUGUGGGUCCUUCUGGUUGUGGCAUGUGGGAUGCCACCUCAGCAUGGCCUGAUGAGUGGUGCCUUGUCUGCGCCCAGGAUCCGAACCAACAAAACCCCAGGCCGCCGAAGCAGAAUGUGCGCACUUAACCACUGGGCCAUGUGGCCGGCCCCCCAUAGGUCUUUCUUGUCACUUCCUAUGCUCAAGGCAAGAAGAAAAGAAAAGUGCCAAGUUUUCCCCAGAUGCAUCUCUCUUUUUCUCAAGAAAGCAAGAGCUUUCCCAGAAACACUCCAACCAGACUGUAUGGUUUAUUUACCAUUUUGUUCCCAGCCCUUAGCAGAAUGCAGCACCCAGCAAGGGAUCACUAACUGUUAUGAAAUUAAUCCGUGAAUGAAUGUCUUACAUCAACCACGCCAUGUGAAUAAGACUCUGGCCUUAGAGGAAUUCAGAUCAGAGGGGAGAUAAAUAUAAAAUCAAAAUACAAAGCAAUCAGAAAGCUCCCACUCUUCUUUGAAAGAGAAAACAAUCGCAAGGAAGAUAGUCCAGUGAGACUUGUUUCAGUGUUUUCCUUGCUUGCUAGUAGUUUAAAACUGACAAAAGGGGCUCUAAUGGUACACAUUUGAUGACAGUUGCUUUCAAUUAAGUGAUAAUAGUAAACAUAAAAUAAGUGAUCAAUAAGUUGUCGUGGAGGUUUUCCUGGUGAAAUCUCAAAACACAUACAGAAAAAAAAAUAUUAAAUGUUCCCAGGGAGAAAAAAACUGGAAGCUUGUUAGAAAUGCACAAUCUGAGGCCCCAGGCCAGACCUCCUGAAUCAAAAUCUGUAUCGUUUUUAUUCAGAUGUAAAUAUAGUUUUAUUUAUAUUCUUAAACAGCAUCAUAUAACACAUGAUGGUUGCUUUUUUUUUUUCCAGUGCUGGCUUUUUUCUUUCCUUUCUUUUUUUUGAACAUUUUAAAUUUUUCAAAAUCUGUACUUUAGCAAGAUGCCCCAGGUGAUUGUAAUGUGCACAUCUUUCCACCUUUCCUUCUCCACCAUCAAUGUUUCUUAGUUAUACUAUUGUAUAAUAAGUGUUCUGUUCUUUUACAUAAUCCUACCAAGGACUCUCAAAAUUAUUAUUAUAAUUUUGUGCAUGUCACUUAUACAGAACCAAGUGGUAUGACUUGAUCCAAGGUGAAGGAAAUGUAAUACUCUAUAUCCACACUAUUGCCAUUUGGGGCCAGAUGGUUCUUUGUGGUGGAGGACAGCCCUGUGCAUUACAGGAAGUUAAGCAGUAUUCCUGGCAUCGACUCAUUAGAUGCCAGUGGGAAUCCCCACUCCAGUUGUGAAAACCAAAAAUGUUCCCAGACAACACCAGAUUCUCCCAGGGAGCAGAGUAGUCCCCUGCUGAGAAGCAAUGGUCCAGUGGAGACUUUGCCCUUUCACUGAGAAUCUUCAAAGCAGCUUCCCUUAAUUUCUUUCUAGCUCUUCUUUUACUUCUCGGUUUAUAUCCAGCUGCCACUAUUCAUUGUAUUUUAUGUCAUUCUCUGUAUUUGGAUUUGUUUUUUAUUUUGCUAUUGUGUCUCCUUGAGUGAUCUUUUAAAUAAAGGGUGUGUGGAUGGUAAACUUUCUGAGUUCUUCCUUGUCCAAAAAUUUCUCAGCUUGGCUCUUACUACUGAGUGCUAGUUUGGCUGCAUAUAGAAUUCUGUAUUCAGUAUCCCUUCCCCCAGAACCUUGAAAACCUUGCUUUACUGGCUCAUGCAUUGUUGCUAAUGUGAAGUCUGAUACCAACAUUAUCAUUCCUUAUGUAUUUGGGUGUGAAUCUGCUAUCUCACUGUAGGUUGAGUUAUAUGAAAUUGCCGCUCUUGGACCAUUUUUUCCUACCAACCAACAGUUUUAUGUGGCUCGGUCUGAUAUUUGCCUUCUAUUUGUCUUGCUUGUUCUGAACGUCCCUUUCCCUUCUUGGCCUCCUUCUUCUGGAUUAUUU